GCGUUUUCAAACAGCGGGACUAACGGACGGACGACUUCAGAGCUACUUCGACUUCCAGUGGCAAUUUUACAAAAUAUAUCCCUCAUGGAGUCUGACCGGGACUGGUAUCUCCCGACAUUAUCUGAAGCUUAGGUCCACUAAGAUGUCCCGUUGAUUGAAGCUGACAUGGAGUCACAGUGACAUCCUUAAAAACUUUUGUCAUGUAUAAUACAUCUCUGCAUCUUAAAAUAUUUCUCUGCAUCUUUAAAUAUUUGUUUUUUUUAUUUUUUGUCUAUGUUUUAGAUUUAAGUGUUUAAGCUGUUUUCAUGAAAAAA